UUUGUUUUUUUUUUUUUUUUUUUUUUUUUUUUUUUUUGUCAAUUGUCAACUCUACUCCUACUCCUAUUCUAUCUACGGGGAGGCUCAACUGAGCCUAUGGAGACCGAUGGGGACAGAACCACCAUCGGACCAAAUGGGUGCAUGACGCACCCGUCUGGAUUUGAAGCAAGCCACAAGAAUGGCAUAUUGGUGGGAGGCAAGGUUUGAACCCUUGCCUCCCACCCCACCAAGCCCUUGGUGGUGGCCACCAGCCCAAGGGCUUGGUGGUUAGGGACAUUCAUUUGUUCAUGGUAGUAUUUAUUUAGGUAUGGGAAAUGUAGUGAGAUCCGAGUCAUCCUAGUCCGUCUGAGAGUGACUUCAUCGGCGGUGGCGUGGGGCCUCCGAUGAGUACUUGGAAGGAUAUAGCAGUGGUAGCACUUGGGAUCCUCGGUACAAGUUUUCUACGUCGUAGCAGUGGUAGCAGUGGUAGUAGUGCAUAUGCGAUGAUGCCGGAUAUCCGACAGAUUAUUAACGCAGGCGUGUCAUUUUUGUCGCAUAGGGAGUAACUGACGCGGACUACUCUUACUUAACUGCUCCUAAACUCAGCGAUGCUACUUUAACUACUACUCCAAUAUCAUAAUCAAAUCAUCACAGACACCACCACCACAUUUGACUCCUUUUUCUUAAAUUAGUGCAUCCAAUCCAUCACUAUCAACCCACCAAAUCACGGAGCUAAUUUGACUUUAUUUUUAACUAGUAAUUGGUAUGGGUAGUAGUAGUAUUUUAUUUCCAAAAGUGGAAACACACUACCCCAAAAAAAAAAAAAAAAAAAAAAAUCGGUACUGAUCAUUAGGUUCGAGCCAGGGAAUCCUUAUUUCAUUUUGAAAAGAAAAGACAGCACAAAAUAUAAACAUACAUGAAAAUUUUUCACUAGGCAAAAUAAUUUGUCGUGUGUGUGUGGUGGUGUAGGCUAUGAUUUAUUGAUCGCGUUACACUGCUAAAUAUCUCACACCGAGUUAAAAAAAUUCUAAUUUGACUAGGAAAAAACGUUUUUCUCUGUGCUCAGGAAUAACAAAUAAGUCAGAAUUUGCAGAGUUGGUGAACCUUACCUAAAAAGGCACGGGCAAGGAAACGUGAGCCCCAACAAAUCAGAUCAGAUACACGUUAUCCGGCCGCCUUAAUCUCACAUAUAAUGAAUGAAAUGGCAUCCACGUCAAGUAAAUGAAAGAUGCAUGGUUCGACUUCGAUCAUCCGAGUCAGCCGCCGACAGACUGGGAGCUGCUUUUUUUUUUUUUUUUUUGGGUAAGAAAGAAGUUACUACCAAAAAAAAAAAGUUGGAGCUGCUGCUACUAUGCUACUAUGCUACUAUGCUGUGCGUCACCAUCUUGAAUGCACGGCAACUUCUUCAUGGUUAAGCAAAGCAAAUUUAUCGCUUUUCGCUUUUCAUCCAUGUAAAUUUUUGCCUUUCUCCAACCAAGAAAAAAGAAAAAAGAAAAAAAAACACCACCACAGUUCGUAAGGCUUCUUUUUAACCAGUUUUAAUUUGAGAGUCCAUUCCUGGCAAUGCAUGCUGGAGAUAUUUAGCCAGUUAUGAUGAUAAUUGGAUUAGUGUGAAUCACAACAAUCAGAAUGAAAAAUGAUUGUAAAUAUAAUCACGCACGCAUAUGCUUGAUCCAUGACGGGUAUUUAAGUUUACUCCAUGGAAGAAGCAGCAAAUUUAUAAAAAUCUGAUCCAAAGUAGAAAUGCGAAAACAACGGAUUAAAUGUCAGCUUGAUUAUAUUCCAGCAACGAAGGUUUGUAUUAACAAGCAGCUUACUAAUAUCAGGAAACCAAAAUUAAAAAAUAUCGUAAAGAUGAACGAGAAAGCAAAACGGCACAGACUUCAUCUUUUUGAAGGAAUCUUGGCUUCAUGUCUGCUGCUGCCUUUUACCAGAAGUCGCGCAUAUAUAUAUAUAUACUUUAGCCUACUGCUGUGUUAGUACGCAUAUAUAAUACUAAGUCAUUCACAGGCUGUGAGUUAAGCCAGUUGCUAUCAACGCAAUCACCAUAUAUAUAUUGGUAUAUAUAUUGGUAGAAACUGUGACAGACGGAGCAGAUCAAUUGGCUUCCUCUGUGGAGAGGAUUUUGGUUUUUCCCGACUGAUCCGAGGAAAUCGGCUGAUGGCAAACCUGCAAAUAGUGCCAGCGGGGAUCACGAAUGUUGUUGAGGCCCAAUACGUAGAGAUGAAGGUGCCUCUUUAUUCUUACGGGUGCGAGAAGAAAGUCAAGAAGGCCCUAGCCCAUCUCAAAGGUAAAAUUAAUACUCGCUUCCUCUUCCAACUGAAUCUCUCUCUGAACAGGGCACGCGAGGCCCUCAAAAGCGGCCCUAUUAAUUUGAACUUUGAAUGACGCAGAUUUGAUUGUUGGACAUAAUUUAGAAAGUGUCCAAUCGUGUUAUGUUUUUACCAAAUAUUUUUUGAGUUUUGUGUCAGUGCACGAUCGGCGAUGGUAAAAAGUCCACCAUCGAUGUCUCUAUGAGGAAUCUCCUGUAAUUUCCCAUUUUGAAUUGGAAUUUAGAAGAAGAUAAAUAAUUCUAAAGAAAUAUUAGAAGUGACCUUCUUAACUUCUUUCGGCCUUCCAGCACCAAUUUCGAAACUUCGAUCCGGAAGAUUUUUACAACUCUGGGCCGAGAAUUGAAUUGGUCUGUGUCUUGGCUUUCAUCCAGCUUGGGCUUAUCUUUUUUUUUUUUUUUUAAAUCAAACUUGGGCCAAGAAUUGGAUUGAAGAGUAGCCAAGUUUUUUUUUUCUUCUUUUUUUGUCCAAACAAACGUGGCUUUUAUAUUUUCUUUUCUUAGCAGAAGAGAGGCGAGUUUAAUAAACUGCAGAGUAGACAGGAGAUUAUAAUCCAGAAUCUCUAGAUAUUGGAGUUUCUACCUUAAUCACUAGAUCAAGGGUCUUCUCGUCAAUUUAGGCUUAAGUUGAGCACAACCAACUUGACUCUUUUUUUUUUUUUUUGGUUUUAAAUUUCAUGUUCAAUAUGGUCUUUCAGUACGUUGUACCAACUUGCAUCUGAAGCACAAUGACGAGGGUAACUUUUGGUAGUUUUUCUGGAACGCUUUAAUUGCACUAGUAGACAACAGUAGUAGUAGUAGUAGAAGAAGCAGGGAGUAUCCACUAUCCAACCAUCUGUUAUGGGAAUUGGCGAGACAGGUAUAUACUCGAUCAUGGUGGAUUACCAAGAGCAAAAGGUGACGGUGUGGGGAAUAUGCAACAAGUACGCUGUGCUGGCAAGCAUCAGAAACAAGCGCAAAGGAGCCUAUUUUUGGAAACCCGAAGACAGCACCCAACUUCUAGCACUGGAGAAAUUACAAACGCCGCCAUCCUCGCCCCAAUCUGAUUCAUGUCCAAAUCCGAAGCCCACUUCCGCUUCCGCUCCAUCUUUGGCCCUCGUCACCAAAGGUUUAGGUCGGUCACUCAGCUGGAAAACUUGGAAGAAGGUCUUCAUCAGGUCCUACUCCUUUUAAUUGGAUUUGAGCAUAAGAGAUUAUCAGAGUCAGACCCUAUUAUUCAUUACUACCAACUUCUACGCGUAAAUAUCAAUUGUUUCUACUUUCGUUUUACUUCAAGAUAUUGUCCUCUUUUUUUUUUUUUUUUUUUUAAAAGAUAUUAGUAUUGUCCUCUUUUUUUCCCUUGGGUUAACGUGUUGCUUCAAGAUAUUCCCGGCGGCUGUCUUCAACUGAAAUACUGAAACAUUGCCAACCAUUUUGGUUUUCUGGUCCAUUUCUCUAUUCUGUAACUGAGUACAUGUACAAUUGUACAUUGUUAGAACAAUAAAUGCGACUAAGAAGGGCAUCACUCGUGAGUUAAAAAGAACCAUAACCGGAGGGAGCUUGCCCUUUUGAUAUCGAUACGCGAUAUGCCAAUGACAGGUGUUUACGUCCGACGAACAAACUGUAGCAUGCCAUCCGAUUUGUACGAGUAAAAUCAGGAAACUUUGAUGAACAUGCCGAUGAGAUCGCGCCAAUGAACUUCUGGCCUUGAAAACGAUUGCUGUUUGCCCCGCCUUGAAUAGUCUUGAGGAUUUAAAAUUCGUGGCAAGAGUAACCGAUUACAACGAAUGAAUAAAGGAACAAGAGCCGAUAACAGAAGUUAGUAAGUAAACUAGAAGGCGAUAAACUGCGAAACAUGAAGUGAACUAGAAAACUCAUGAAGAUUGCUUGGAAAUAACAUUGCUCCGUUUGGAUUAGCUGUUUUUUGGGUGUUUUUAAAAAAUUUUACUGUCCAGAGUUUUUAAAGUAUAUUUGAAAAUUUUUUAUAGUAUUUGAAAAACUAAUUUUUGGAGGACAGAUCUUUCAAACUAAGCGAGCGUGCUGAUUUGUACAAAAAUUAAUAUCAAUCUGUUAAAAACAUGAAAUGGGAAAGAAAUGAUUGCAUAAAAAUAUUGAAAUCCUAACAAUUAACCUAAUAUUUCUAAGGAAACUUUGGAAAAUCGGAAGUACAUACAUAGCCUAUGACUCCUAAAAUGCCAUUAAAAUGAAAGAAAUAUCAUCAUAGUUGCCAUACUGUAUAAAGAGUGAAAGUGGUGUCUUCAACCUGAUGUUUCUUCUUACAUUUACAGCGACAAGUUGCCUUCAAAACCAAAAGAACCCACUAAUUUCAUAGUCCACGUCAUUCGACCUAAAUCCAUCAUUGGUCGCGUAACUAUCCACUCUUAUAUUUAUUUUAGAUAACGUAGUCACCACGCUCCUAAUAUGUACCGCAGAGAUAUAAGCUGAUGCACGCAUCUUUGCUUGGGCCAACAACUACUAUCGUAUCAUCAGCUCUAUCCUUAUUCGGCGCCUAACCAAUUUGUCACGGUUGUCGUACACAUCAGCAACCAUGUAUUUGCACACGUCGGCGAGUACAUAAAUAUCAACUAUUGUUACAGAUCGAUCAUCCAUGGAACCUUUACGACUCAAAUCUAUUAACCUUAAUCUUCAACUAGCAGCGUGGAUUAUAAAUUUUUCAUUGCUGAUUUAUGAAGAUUAGUUAAAAAUCAAACCCCCCAUGUAAUCGAUUUUAAAUGGAAGCUGCCGACAAACUCCUAUCUGCUGAUCAGCUAUAAAUUGUAUUUAUCGGCAUCAUAUGGCUAAUUAUCUAUCUAUCAAUAAUCCACCAACAAAUAGGGCUUUUUUUUUUAUCACGUUUCCCUCGCUCCUCUUGUUAAGAUCUUAAGCUUGUUUUGUGAAUUUUGAAGAUGAAAUCAAUUUUUUCACCAUAAUAAUAUUGGUAGUGUUCCGGCUAAACUUCUGCACAGCAGAGGACAGAGCCCAUCUUCAGUUCACUAAAGAAGAAGACGGUGUGGUGUAUUCUAUCAAUCUCUCAAGGGUUUAGCAUUUAGACUAUUAGGCCGAGAUUUCACUCUGAUUUUGUUUUGGACUUGUGGGUGUUGUCGUUUGUUUUAAUGACAGUAGGGUAUUAAAAGGCAAAAUCUGAAACUCCGGGAGUGGAACAACCAUCAUUAGUGAGUACUUAAUAAUAAAUCUCUAAUUAAUACAAGUAAAGUACUCUAAUACUACCUCCUCCCGCUCCCCCUCCCCAAAAAAUGGCCGGCGGGGGUGUAGAACCAAACUAGAAAUUAAUUAGACGAGAAAAGAAAGUCAAAUCAAAUGGGGACCGGAUUUUCCUAUUCAUCAGGCACAAGAUUAACGUGUAUGGUAGUAUAAAAACAAACGCAGGCUCCAGUUCGCUGUCUCAUCGGCCUGGCUAAAUAAUUUCCCAAAUCCAUUUUUGGCGGAGAGGAGCAGUCAAAUUCAUUGCACUCUUUCGAACGAGGCGAGAGAGGUGUAGAGACCGAAAUAAGGGCGGACAGAAUUCGAUCAAUCAAGAGAUGAUAAGAGUGGGGAUGAUGGUGGAGCUUCUGCAGGAAUACAAGAGUUUGGUAAUGGCAACUCUGAGAGAGCAGAUGUCUCUUCCCACUCCCAGGCCGCCUUCUUUUCUGUUCCUCGGAACCCUUCCCUCUGCCUCAACCGCCAUCCUCCGCCGCCACCACGACUCCGACUCCUCUACUUUCUUCGUCUAUUUCUAGCCACGUUCAAUUAUUCUUCCUUCUCUUCUCAUCACGGAGCGGUGUCCAUGACGCAUCGAAUUUUUGUUUUUCCGGCACCAGUUUAUUCUUGUCCUACUCUCACGAGUUAUUACAGCAAAUAGCAGUUGUGGUUUGUGUUGGUUAUUGAUUUAUUAUUAUUAUUAUUAUUAUUGAACGACGACGUACUACCAAUACGAGUUUUUCUUGAUUCUUGCUAUUAUUAUUAUUGUUAUCAUCAUCUCCAAUUCAUCCAAAUGUGUUAGACUCUUAGUUGGGGGGGAUAAAAUCAGUUAAAGGAAUCCAUAAUUUUUGUUUAAUUCGAGUUUCUCUUAAAGCAAUCCAUCUACUUCCUGCACCUGCCUAUUUAUCCCCCAAAAAACGCGUUGGUUGUUUGCAAAAAGUACACGUACCUUAUUAUUUUGUGUAAAGCAUUUUCAGUUUAAUCUUCACUUUCAUCAUUGCAACACUUCCUUUUUAGUAUUUUAUAUAUAUCUUCCCCUUCAGUUUCUUCACACCUCUGUCAUCCUAAAUAAAAUCACAAAACCAUAAAAUUUGCCACUCACUGAAAAUUUUUGAAGAAAAAAUACACACUACUAAUUGAAAUUGUUGUCGAAGGUUGGUUGAACAGCGAUGCUAUGCUGUGUGACAUGAAACGUGGGUUCAUACUCAAACUAGAUUGUUUAUAGUCUCGAAAUUGAAUUUUGAGUAUCGAUUUUUGUUUUCUAUACAAAAUGUUUCCACAAAAAAUUUUAUAAUUGUUCUAGACAUAUAAUGGCCCUUAAUUUCGCAAGCCAGUUAUUUGCUAGGCUUUAUCAAUAGAAAAAUGCUAUAGUAAAUGACUUAAACAAAUUAAAGAAUAAGCUACUUCCUUGAUUUUAGUGAUUCCCAUAUUUGUGCUCUAUCACUUAAUAAUGUCAGAUAAGUUACCUCCUUGAUUUUAAGAAUUCCAUGUUUGUGUCUAUGGCGUCUCGAAGGAUUCCAUGUUUGUGUCUAUAGCGUCGUAAUAUUGUGAUUUACAAUGGUUGUUUGUAGAAAUUCUCAUAUUUGUGUCUAUGACGUCUUGAUUUUAAGGAUUCCAUAUUUGUGUAUAUAGCGUAGUAAUGUCGUGAUUUACAAUCACUGCUUGUAGGGAUUUUCAUGUUUGUUUCUAUUAUUUAGUGACAUCAUCAUUUACCGUCGCUAUUUUUUAUAGCCGCAAUGUCAUAAUUUACCUUUUUAUAGGUGGACUCUGCUAAUAUGGGUUGAGUCAAAACUUGUUCACUAAAAUCCUAUUUGAUAAUUCAAUUUAACAUUUAAAUUUAAUAUAUUCAAAUCUUAAUUAUUUAAACGCAUUUGAUAACUAAAAAUCAAACAUUUAAAUUCAUUAAGUGGCACUGAAUUUUCUAGAUAAAAUUUGCUCCUAAAAAUAAAGCCCAUGCUUGAUAACCAAUUCAUCAUUUAAAAUUAAUGGAAUCAAAUUUUAACAUAUUCAGACCGUUUGACAAUCAAAAAUUGAACAUUCGAAUUAAUUAAGUGACACUGGAUUUUCUAGACAAAAGUUACUCCUAAAAUUAAGUGAUAAACUAUUCACUUAUUAUUGAAUGCGAUAUGUACUCAAAUGUAUUAGAUUUAAUACUUAACAAUUCAAUAAUUUAAUGGAUUCAAACUUCAGUUUUCAAAUUUCAAUUUUAUCAAAUACAUCCUAAGUUAUGAGUUGUUCACUUAUUAUUUAAUGUGAUAUAUAUUCAAAUAUAUCAAAUUUAAUACUUAACAAGUUAAUAAUUUAAGGGAUUUAAAUUUCAAAUUUUAGAUUUCAAUUAUAUUAAACGCACCCUAAAGUUUGUUAUAUUUAAAAAAUGGCGUUUCUAAAGGAUGAUAAGAAAAUCUAAGUUCACGUCUCUUUUAACUAAUUGGUAGUUGAGGAGUUUUGCUUCCGAGUUAUAAUUUAGAUUGCAUGCUCAAUUUAUGACUAAUAUUUUCUUUUGGUAUUUCCAGACAUGUCAUUGGAUUAUGUACUAUAUUUUCUGUUUCGUAAGCCUACCUGUCAACUUGCAAGUUGAAGAGUACGCUGAGAUCAUAAUCCGAACAGAGCAUCGGCGUGUGCUCUCGAACUGACCUGCAAUGAGCCGAACAACAGGAUUGGCUCUCCAUUGCGACUCCGACGCUCAAAUCAGUUAGGAAGUACGUGGGGAUAGAGAAAGUAAUAGUAUUAUGUAGCGUAGAGUACCUUGUUGGAUUCCCUCCAUUCCUUAUUUAUAGAACUGCUAGGGAUAGCCUCUAAGGAGUCCAAAGUUAUCCCCCUACCCACAGUAGUUAUUCCAUUAGAAUAUGAGUCCUACUGUGUUAUUAGAAGCGGAGUCCUCUUGGACUCUAACCCUAACCUUAUCUCAAAAAAUGAGGAAUCCCUUAUCAGUUGUCUGCCGGAUCGAUCACCCAAGAUCUUUGGUCUCUACUCAAACCCGAUGAAAAAAAUGGAAUCACUUCUUAUGGACUCGUUGAGAACGAUUCAGAUCUAGUUCAUGGCCUAUUAGAAGUAGAAGGCGCUCUGGUGGGAUCUUCACGAACAGAAAAAUAUUGCAGUCAGUUUGAUAAUGAUCGAGUGACAUUGCUUCUUUGGGCCGAAUCGAGGAAUCCCUUAGAUAUGAUGCAGAGCGGAUCUUGUUCUAUCCUUGAUCAAAGAUUUCUCUAUGAAAAAUAUGAAUCGGAGUUUGAAGAGGGAGGAGGAAGGAGCCCGUGACCCCCAACAGAUAGAGAAAAAUUUAUUGAAUUACAUAGUUUGGACUCCUAGAAUAUACCACCCUUGGGCCUUUCUAUUUGAUUGUAUCGAAAAGCCCAAUGAAUUGAGAUUUUCCUAUUGGUCCAGGCCAUUUUGGGGCAAGCAGAUCAUUUAUGAUGAAGAGAAUGAGCUUCAAGAGAAUGAUUCGGAGUUCUCGCAAAAUGGAACCGUGCAGUACCAGAUAUGAGAUAGAUCUUUCGGUCAAUGACCGAACAGGCUCAUAUGUUGGACCGAACUGGCUAGAAGAACUAACACAUGUCAGUGGACAAUUGGCUCCUCUACAUAGGUUAUUAUGGGAUGCUCAUAAUGCAAUGAAAUUAUAAUUAUAAGCCAUCCAAACGACUAAUAUAACGCAAAAAUCUCACUGGAGAAAAUGUGACCCUCAAAGCCGGCUACAGUUUGCAAAGCAGCAUGGUCCAUAUGAGCGAGCGAGCAAGCGUGUUUCGUAACUAGGAUGAAGAUGCCAAGACACUAAAAUCCAUAAUCACCAAAACUGAAAGCAUUACAACUUAAAGCUCUGCAUAAGCGAACUCGCAACAGUAGCACCAAAAAAAAAGAAGCACAGAGACCAGUCAGCCGUUGAGCCGACAAAUAUUUUUCUCUACUAAGAUGAUCCCGCAAAUGUCAAGCGCAAAAAGGGAAAAAAUAAAAAUGACAAUCCUAGCUAUCAUUUAGGUGAAUGAUUAAACAAAAUGGUGCCACCAUUUCGAACUCUUAACACUGGAAUGCAUCAAAAAUUGGUAAAAGACCAUGGUCCAAUUUUAGGUUGUUAGCUCCAUGAUAGCACUGACGAUAUCUCCAUCGUGGGCCUUGAGAGCCUUGACAGCCUUGCACCUCGUCACCCCCGCCUGAGUCAUCACCAAAUCGAUAUCACGAGGCUCGACACCAGUCUCAUCAAUCUCUUCCUCUUCUUCAUCUGCCUGUACUGCAGCACCUGAAGCAGAGAUAUCCGACUUGGCCAUCACAGAGCCCAUGUCCGGCAUCCUGAACUGCUGGGCUGCCUGUGUCUGCAGCUGAGAGCUCAAGUCCUCUAUCUUAGCUUCUCCGAAUAUCACGUAGGUAUCAGAAUUUGGGCUUUUGAACACAUCUGGUUUUGAGAUGAAAAACAAUAUCUGCAAACAGUUGAAGACGAUUGGAGAGAACUGAGAAGGGACCAACACGAGGCAAACAAAAUGAAAUAAACAGAGGAUAGAAUACAGGCCUACAUUUUUGGUUCUCUUAAUGGUGACCCUAGUGACACCAGUAACAGGUUUCAUUCCUAGCUUCAACAUUGCCUUGCGGCUCUUCUUUUCACUCCUGCUCUGCUUUGAACUCUCGUUAGUGCCUGCAAGUAAAUGUCAAUCAGUAUAAUUCAGCAAUGUCAAAGCAGCAAGGUGGUUGCAAAGCAAGGAGAACAACCACCACUAGAAUACCACUAACCAAGAGCGACGCAGCUAGUGAAUCUAUCAUCUGAUUCACACGUACUACUAGAAUACACCAUCAUGAACCAAGAAAUGCAGCAGUUGGAACUUUUCAAAUUUGAGUUGAAUGCAUUAGGGGGGACUAGUCUGAAUAUUUCAACCACAAGAGGAUUGAGGAGGGAACAUACGAUACAAGUAGCAUUUAUUAAUUGCCCACCAAACAUGGAGCACUACAAUUGGUAACCCAACUACUAGCAAACUAAGCAUGAAGCAGAAGUACUUUAUGACGGACAUAAAUAUAAAGAAAAAAAAACCCCCCCCCCAAAACGGGACAUCUAGAACAGGAAAAACAAGAGUAAACAAAUACUACUAAGAAAACCUUGGGCACCGUCUUCUUUGUCAUCAUCCUCGUCGUCGGAAUCGUCGGCAUCGUCUUCGUGGUCGUCUUCGUCUUUCACGUCCUCCACUACCGGCUCAUCUCCCUGCAAAUUAAUCCUUUUAAAAAAUUAUUAAGCGAGCAUAUCAAAGAUUAAAAAAGGCAAACCGAAAAAGGAAAAAAGAACUCGCGCGGAUAAUAACGUCUUGACUGAUAAAAAUAUUUAAAAACAGAAAAGGAAAAGAAGAUUAAAAGAAAAAUGAAGAAGGUAGAAGAAGUUGGCUAGUAAACUGAGAACCUGAAGCUUUUUGUCGACGUCAAGUUCUUCGACGACGGGGCCCGGCAUGGCUUUCUUUGAUUGCUUCUGCUUGCUUUACCAGAUGAUGGAGAAACAGAGUGAGAGAGGCACAGCGGGUUGCGACGACUGGAGGAUAUACCUUUGUUGGAGUAAGGACGGAAAGAUUUUGUUUUGGGUUUUUUUUUUCUUUUUUGAAACUAGGGUUUUCCACAUAUUGGUGGGUAUGGGCCUUUAGCUGUUGGAUCUAGUGUCUUUACCUUCCUGUCCUCAUUUGAAGCCCAAAAUGUUCCUCCUCUUGCUCGCCUGCUUGACGUCUCUCAUUUCGUUAAGAUUUGUCAGGCUAAUCUUUGGUUUUCUUAUUGACGAGAAAACAUCCAAAUCAUUAUUGUUUUUAUCAAAAGAAGGGAAAAAAAUUUCAAAUCAUUUUUUUGCUCAAAAGAAUUAUUUGCAAAAGUUCAUUCGCAAGUAUCAUCAACACAUUUUUUAAUCACCUCAGUAUUUUUUUAAAAAUAAAUUAUUUUAAAUAAUUUACCAUCCAAACACACCCAAAUAAUAUACUAUUGAAGCACAUAUUUACUUUCGUUGCUCCUCUUUUUUUACUAAUCAUUUUAUUCCAAAACUUUUCUACGCCCAUAUGCGGCGGCAGAAAAGAACUUUUACGUAAAUAUAGUAUAAUUUUUUUCUCUCCUAAGUUAUGAGUGGUCUCUGCUCUUCGUUCUCUUGUAGCGAGUAUAUCUAUGAUCGUCAUUAAUAUUAGUAUAUUAGUUUGUUAGUAAAAUUAAAACAAUUUUAUCCAGGCCAGGGGGAAAUGAUUGCAAUAGCAACACGACCAUUGCUGAUCAAAUUCACAGUUCUGUGCUGGAAACUUUGAGAAAAAAUUCGCACGAUAUCCAAAACGGCGAGCCCCCUGUCAACCUUGACAAUGAUUAAUCUAAUCAAACAAAAGAAUUCAUAACGCGCCGAUUCCUGCUCACCGACAUGUAUUGUAUUACUAAUCAAUAUGCAACUGUGGCAAAAACCAAAGAACUCCAAAGCCUGAUCAUCAUCCUAUACGAAAUUAUUUCCGAGUAACGCAACCGAAGUCCAAACCAAUCCACCUAGUCCUUCCACUAGAAAUGCCCAGCAAAAAGCUACCCUCCAAUUAUUUUGUAACCAAGGAAUUUUGGCAUCAGCUGAAAUCCCCAUCCUGCUGUUGUUUUGCUGCAAACAUAAACAGUUGGAUUUGGAAUGAACCUGGAGAUUUUUUCUUUUUUCUUUUUUCUUUUUUAAACAAACACUGCAAUAGAAUGGUAGGGUUAUUGGGACAAUCUAUGUUGCCAAAUCUUGCACAUUACCGAUCACACCGGAAGGGAAAACCAUAUGUCUUAAUUCUGAGUAUUCCGUCAGAUUACCAGUUGGCAAACAAGCAGACUCGAGCGAGUCAUUACUAUUUAUAGUGAGGUGUUCCCUGAAUUCUUUCUGACCUUCCUCUCCACCCUCCAAGCAGCAUUGUCUGUAGCAUGGCAAUGCCCCGAAGGUCCAGUCCAGUUUUUGCAAGGAGCAGCCGCAUCACAAACAAAACAAUAGCACUGCACCGUGCAGCAGAUAUUGGUUACAACAAAAAGAAAAUAGUCCCAACAUCACAUCAAGAAGCUGCAGCAAUUAUAGGAUAAUUAUGGAUUGGAUUGACAUAAAAAAAAAAAUUCAACAUUACCAAAUCACAAUAGCUAUCGUCAGGUGUCUGCCCAAAAGGGUUCUUGACGCAGACAUGUCUGAAAUGCGGGUAGUCCCUACAUGCCACCUGCGGCACCAAAAUGGACAUGUUUCAUUCAAUUACCAAAACAUUUUCAAUUCUAUUCUGGCGAAAUAAUCCCAACAUUAACAGCCGCUACUAGUGCCAGAUAGUAGCACUAACUAACGCGGGAAUCAAAGUUGGUAGUAAUGAAAAUGUUUUAAGGAAAAAGAAAAGUACCUUCCCCUUUUCCCCAACAAGAGAGACGUCAGGAGAGACACCAUCCACAUUCUCGACAUUAUUCUUGGAGGACACGCUUAAUGUGAGAUCAUCAUCCUCACCAGGAUCAAAAUCUAGGAUGAAACAAUCUUCCCUCUCCUCUAUCCUCUUGAUAUUAUCUCUGUUUUUUAGGUAAAAGACAGGUCUUAAAGGAGUCCCUUUUAGCUCUGAUCUAGGCGACGGUGAAGAGCACAAAUCUAUGACCAUGGUGUCUUCUUCGUCUAUAACACUAGUACCAGUGCAUUUCACUAUUGGUGAUAAGGGCAACUUCUGCAUUUUGGUCAUCACCGGGAAGGAGAAAAAUAUACCUAAAAGCCCCAAAGCUUCUGUGAUGUGAUGUAUGUGAGAUAAAAAGGUAAUUGGGAAGGUAAAAAGGUGUAUUGAAAAUUGUAAUGAUGAUGUAAGCAAAUAAAUUUGGGGAAAUAAAAUCCAAUCCAAACAAACUUGGAGGACACGCUUAAUGUGAGAUCAUCAUCCUCACCAGGAUCAAAAUCUAGGAUGAAACAAUCUUCCCUCUCCUCUAUCCUCUUGAUAUUAUCUCUGUUUUUUAGGCAAAAGACAGGUCUUAAAGGAGUCCCUUUUAGCUCUGAUCUAGGCGACGGUGAAGAGCACAAAUCUAUGACCAUGGUGUCUUCUUCGUCUAUAACACUAGUACCAGUGCAUUUCACUAUUGGUGAUAAGGGCAACUUCUGCAUUUUGGUCAUCACCGGGAAGGAGAAAAAUAUACCUAAAAGCCCCAAAGCUUCUGUGAUGUGAUGUAUGUGAGAUAAAAAGGUAAUUGGGAAGGUAAAAAGGUGUAUUGAAAAUUGUAAUGAUGAUGUAAGCAAAUAAAUUUGGGGAAAUAAAAUCCAAUCCAAACAAACUUGGAGGACACGCUUAAUGUGAGAUCAUCAUCCUCACCAGGAUCAAAAUCUAGGAUGAAACAAUCUUCCCUCUCCUCUAUCCUCUUGAUAUUAUCUCUGUUUUUUAGGCAAAAGACAGGUCUUAAAGGAGUCCCUUUUAGCUCUGAUCUAGGCGACGGUGAAGAGCACAAAUCUAUGACCAUGGUGUCUUCUUCGUCUAUAACACUAGUACCAGUGCAUUUCACUAUUGGUGAUAAGGGCAACUUCUGCAUUUUGGUCAUCACCGGGAAGGAGAAAAAUAUACCUAAAAGCCCCAAAGCUUCUGUGAUGUGAUGUAUGUGAGAUAAAAAGGUAAUUGGGAAGGUAAAAAGGUGUAUUGAAAAUUGUAAUGAUGAUGUAAGCAAAUAAAUUUGGGGAAAUAAAAUCCAAUCCAAACAAACUUGGAGGACACGCUUAAUGUGAGAUCAUCAUCCUCACCAGGAUCAAAAUCUAGGAUGAAACAAUCUUCCCUCUCCUCUAUCCUCUUGAUAUUAUCUCUGUUUUUUAGGCAAAAGACAGGUCUUAAAGGAGUCCCUUUUAGCUCUGAUCUAGGCGACGGUGAAGAGCACAAAUCUAUGACCAUGGUGUCUUCUUCGUCUAUAACACUAGUACCAGUGCAUUUCACUAUUGGUGAUAAGGGCAACUUCUGCAUUUUGGUCAUCACCGGGAAGGAGAAAAAUAUACCUAAAAGCCCCAAAGCUGCUGCCACCAAAGCUAUUUGAUAUAAGAUUUUUUUUCUUUUUUUUUUUUGCAGAAGCUAUUUGAAAUGAGGUGAGGACGUAGGAAUAGGAGGAGGGUGGCGGUAGUGACUAGAUAGACAGUCUAUGGAACCCAAAGAGUUUGAUCCCCAAAAUCACUACUCAAUCAUUCUUGAGAUUUGAAUGCUUUGAACAUUCUUAAGGACGGCCAGAAUCCCAAGAGCGAAACAGGAACUGAAGCGACCCCCCCAACCUGUACUCACAGAGUCGACAUUUUACGGGGCUAAGUACAAUUAGUUUUCCUGAACUUUCCCGUUGUAACAUUUUGGCUCCCCUUAAUUUCAAAUAUAUGGACUUCACCCCCUUCAUAAAGUUAUGCAAAAUGACAUUAAUACCCAUACACAAUGGUUGUAAAUUAAUGCUAAUAUGGAGCGUUUUAUUUAAAAAAAAAAAAUAGAGUCACAUCAUAUCAAAUAUUAAAAAAAUAAAAGAUGAUGAAAUAUCAAAUAAUUUAAAUUUUGGGUUGUGGAGGAAAAAAAAUCCAAAAUUUCUGUGCUAGUGUUCAGUCACUUCUCUUUCUUCCUUUUAUAUUAUAAACAGACUGGUCUUAAUAAAUUUUACUUACUUUGCAACUUCAACGAGAUUCUCAUAAGUUUAUAAUAUGUGAAUUGGUAUUUUUAUGUCACUACUGUACCUUGCUUUAUUUCUUAUUUGGAAAAAAAAUCUAGAUUCUCUAAACACGUUUUUUUACUACAUUUUUAUUUUUUAGUCACAUUUUCAUCUUGUAUAAAUCACAUUAAAAAUAGUAAUAGAGUUAAAAUGUUUACAAAAUAAUCUUCAUUCCAAAUGUGCUAAUUAAUUUUAUUUCAUUUAAAGUAAGCAUUGAGAUGAACACGUUGAAUUGCUUAGAUCUUUUCUAUUUGCAAUUUUUUUAAUAUUUUUAUACAGUAUAAUUGUAUUCAAAUGGAUUUAGCAUUUUAGCUAUAUUGAGAGGGUUCAAAUCCUAAGGUCGGUGAGUAGUCGGAAGAAGGCAGGGUUUUUAAAGUUUUUUUAGUCUCAAGUUCGGGAUUCAAAUUUCGUUGUCAAGUCCAGACUUUGAAUCCCGUGCAUAACAGUUAGGGACGAGAAAGCCGUGGGAGAAGAGUGAGAGGGUGUAAAAUAUAUAUAUAUAUAUCGGACCGUCUGAUAUAAUUAACCCUCAACAAACUUGGACAUAAUAAAAUAGGCCCAACCGUUCGCAGAAUAUAUAUGUAGUAAGCAGGCCCAACCGUCCGUAGUACAUAUACAGGCCCAAUCUUCUGUAGAUCAACUAGGGUUAGACAUUGGGGCAUUUCGGGUCACCAAUUGCCUUAAAAUGCAGCUCCUGAUGUAGGGCCCAGCAGAAAGUUGUAACGAAGUUUAGAAUGAAACAUCAGCAAAUAAUUGUAAGAUUGGAUUAUCAAGACAUCAGCUAUUCUUUUCCUUGUAAAGAUUAGAAGAAUUAGUGAAAAACAAGAAAAAUAUAAAAAAACUAUUUCUGCUAUUCCAUUAGUACCAUGUUCUAGAUGCCCCUUUAUACUCGCCGAGUAUCAAAAUAGUUCAUCAGAAACAAGUGCGUUGUGUAGGUUUCUUGACCUGAAUUAUAAGGGGUCAUUCCUAUUUGAUCAUUUUGAAAACAAUCAAACCAGUGCUUUUAAGGGAUGUCUUGCAGGCAUUUGUUGAACAACGGUUGAUAUUUAAAUGCGAGCAUUCAUACUUAUUUCCCUCUUCAAUUAUCGCUUUCCCUCCUAGUUGUUCAUACCCAAUUUUGACCUUCAAUCGAUUGUGAGGAAAGCCAAAUGAGGUGAAUUCGUGAUCGCGAAGAGUUAUAAAUUGCUCACUUUCUAAAGAAUGUAGCAAACAUAACAAUAUACACAGCUGCAUGAGAUAUAAUAAUGUUCUAAUAAAGGGGAAGGUGUUAGCUCUGUUUGGAUUGGCAUAUUUUUCAAAAAACAAAUUUUUUAAAUACAAUAUUACAGUAAUAUAUAAAUAAAAAUAACUCAGAAAACAUUUCAUCCAUACAAUAUAUUAAAUAUUUCAAAAAAUAUUUAUAGUAAAAAUUUUUCAUAUACACCGUUACAGUAAAACAUUUCUAAAAUACCUCAAAAAACAGUUAUCAUUUUUCCAACAUGGUUGUUUUCGUUUCUCAAGAGGCACUUAGAACCCUCGGAGCCAAUUGCCAAACUUAGUGCCCCCUCCGCCGUGUGUCCUGCUUCGUUAAGUUGUCAUGAAUUUUCUUCAGGCUUUGGUUGGUUGGAUCCAAGUUUCCAUCUUCAUUGCAUUUCUGAAAGGGACACGUUGGAAUGAUUCCUUAACCUAAACUAACUCCAAAUCGCAAAACUACUACCCCUGUUGUUUCAAUAUUUAUAUAUAUAUAUUGAAAGGGCCACAAUUUGCUCUGACCCCAAGUAUUUUGGCAACUCGAAUAAUAUAAAGAAAAAGCAAGACUGUGCAGUAGGUAGAGAAGUUGGUGAGGAGAGGGAAAUUUUUAGGUUUUACACGUCUUUCACACUUUCGCUACUUAAUUUAUUGAUUUUUGUUGACAAAAAAAAUAGCGGGCAGUCGAGAUCAGAGUUGAAAUGGAGUGACGGUCGCCGAUUGCUGCUGCCCCCAAGGCUUUGCUUGAUUCGCUAGAGAAUUAGGUGAAAUGUUAUCCUCUCAGAUUCGACCUUGCGACUUAGUAAAUGAGCUAUGAAAUAAAUCCGGUUUGAACAGAAACCGGAUUUUAUUUUCUUUCUUUUUAAUUUUUAAUUUUUCUCUUGGCAAUGGAGAGAUUAGGGAUAGAGAAUUUCCAAAUUCUUACUGUGAUGCUGGAAAAUCACCAAUUUUGACAUGGUCAAUGUCAGAAUUUUGACAUAUGGGAGAGGAAGGUGGAUGAUGGAAAAUCCCUAAAUUUUCUGGACGAGUAAAUGGUUUGAUUCGAUCACUCUAGAAAUCAAAUUUAAGGUCCCGUCCUUCGAAACGAAGAGCAGCACUAUGUGGUUUGAUUCGAUCAUUAAUAAAACCCUCUAUACUUCAAGACCCCAUUACUCUUCUGUUCAGGACAGUCUUAGAUGGAGUCCCUCCCUUGAUGCCAAGUUUCAAUUGAAAUCAGCAUAUGAGUUAGCUUCCAAUCAUGCCACCACAACCACACCAAAUUUCCAACUUUGGACAGAUAUGGAAGCUAAAAAUUCCAUUUUAUGAAGCUGAACUGAGAGGAGCUGGAGGUAUCUUUAGAGAUUCCUCCGGCUGCUGGAUCAAGGGAUGCAGUCGAAAUCUAGGAUUAGCCACAAAUAUGAUCGCAGAAUUAUGGGGUAUUAGAGAUGGGUUGGAAUUGACCAUGUCUCUGAAUAUUUUGCCACUGGAAAUGGAAGUUGAUUAUGCUGACCUUGUUGGAUUCAAAUGAUGAUCCAGACCAUUAUUUUCGUAACUUUGUCAUGGAUUGCAGAUCCUUGCUGUCAUGGCUCCAGCUAGUUAAACUCAAACAUGUGUAUCAGAAAGUCAACAGAUGUGCUGAUGCUUUAGUAAAAUUAGGAUGCAAAUUUGACAUGCCUUUAGUGAUUUUUGUAUCCUGUCCUCGAGAAAUUUCUUUUGCAUAUGAUGAGGACAACAGAGGGGCCUGUUUACCCCGUAAUGUUCGGUCGGAAUGUAAUACUUAGGCUUCAUCUAUUGUUCUGCAUAAUCUUUAUUAAUGCUAAGUCCUAUUUUUACCCAAAAAAAAAAAAGAAAAAGAAAAAGAAGCCUAUUUUGACAUAGUCAUAUUCAACCUCCACGAGAAUGUCACUCAAUAUUAAUAUUUUUUUUUGUAACAUUUCUAUAAUCUAAUCUAUCCUAUUCUAUAGAGGAAUCUAAAGAGAUUGUAUAAGGGGUAUAACCUAAUCUAUCAAUAUUAAUAUUUUGUCUGUAACAUUUUUAUAAUAUAAUCUAUCCUAUUCUACAGGGGAGUCUAAAGAGAUUGUAUAAAGGGUAUAACCUAAUAUAUCCUAUUCUACAAGGGACUUGGGGCAGGUAUACAGACCCGACUAGAUCAAAAAAUGUGUUCUCUGGCACCUCUUUUAAUUUUUUUUUUCACUGCAUGUGAAAAUACAGCCACAUAGGGAUUUCAUCCCUUUUUUGUGGCUAUUGAGCCAAAGCUCAGUGGUUAGAAUGUCACUUAAUAUGCUCUCCUGAAAAUACUUUACUUUCAACCGAACAGACCCCACAAUCUUACAUCUUUUCAUAUUAUAUUUUACAUAUAAAAGUUUUUUCUUUGAAGGAACAUGUAAAAGUUCAAUAACUUACAAACUUAUUAUUGAAGAAUCAAGACAAUAGGGUAGUAUCUAAUGUUUAAUUUACAAUAUGGAAAAGUACAAUAAUAUUUUUCUUCCCCUUCUUCUUCUUUUCAGUCACAGAUAUGUGAAUGAGUGCGUGCGGAUUGUGUUAUUCUUUGACUCUAAGAUGACCUUCGAGAUAACGAAACAAUCGUUUAAAUUGCAAAUAGCGAUUUGAUGAAUCUUUAUUUCACUGGCAUAGGUGUAUAAGUACCAAUCCUGGUGCAAGUGCAUCUGACUAAACUUCAUUUUCCGGAUAAUAGUAGGACAUCUUUUUAAGUAAAACAUCGCACUCAAAAACGCUAAUGCACAGUGAUUAGAUUACACCAGAUUAAGGCAGUGGGUGUGCGGUCAUUGGUGGGUGGAGGCGGUGGGGUCCGAUGGUGACUUCUACCAACCACCAGACAGUGAGAUCGAGCGAGGGUCUGAGGGAAGAAAAGCCCUCCGGAAAAACAAAACAAAAACACACACAGAGACGGAGGAUUUUUGACGUCAUACAUAGUAUAUAAACUACUCCCCUCUGCUCUACCGGGUGCGUUCAUAUUCCAGUCUCACCUUUUCCUUCGUCCCGGAAGCUUUUCCCUUCACCUUUGAUUCCUCUCCAGCCAAACAAACCUCCCGCCAGGACAUUUCUGAUUUCUGAAGCUGAAGUUGGAGUAAAAAGAAAAAGAAAUCAAAUAAUGGCAGAGGAGGAAGCUUGCUUAUUCGCCAUGCGCCUGGCUAGUGCAUCCGUACUUCCUAUGGUACUCAAAUCAGCCAUCGAACUUGACCUCCUGGAGCUUAUAGCCAAGGCUGGUCCUGGCGCCUACGUCUCCCCAUCGGAGCUCGCCGCACAGCUCCCCACCCACAACCCGGAAGCUCCUAUCAUGCUUGAUCGCAUCCUCCGACUCCUGGCCACCUACUCUGUCCUCGAUUGCAAGCUCAACAAUCUGGCCGAUGGUGGCGUCGAGAGGCUCUACGGUCUGGCCCCUGUUUGCAAAUUCUUGACCAAGAACGCUGAUGGUGUGUCCAUGGCCCCUCUUUUGCUCAUGAAUCAAGAUAAGGUCCUCAUGGAAAGCUGGUAACAUCCUCUACCCUCUCUGUCUCUGUCUCCUCAGGUUAUAGUACUCCUGGCAUUAGCAAUACCACUACUCCAUCCAUAAUAAACGCAUUCAUGUCUACGUGUAUCUUCUUCCUCUUCCUUUAUGCGUGGCAGAAUCCAUCAAUGUCUGUCUCAUCCUUUUUUAAACCAACAUCAAGGACCAUUCUUUUUUCAAUAGUUAGCUAGAAGACUAAAUUGCUUAAUCCAAAGAUCAAAUAUCAAAACUAACCCCUAUGAAAUUACAAACACGGAACCAAAAUUUUAAAACAUAAAAAUAAAAGUAACACGCACACACUACACAUGGCGCAUUGUGAUAAUACGUGGGACUUACCAGCUUUAUCUACUUCAAUUGCGAUGUUUUGUUUGUUCCUUUAUUCAUUGCUAUCUUUCCAAGUUUGCGCGUGCUCAUGGUCAUGAUCCACCAAGAUUUAUUCAAUUCUGCUGAAAAUCGUCGUGCGAGGAAUGAAUCACUUGUGUGACUUGGCUUAUUGUUCUUGUAUUGGAGGAUAAAGUCUCAUUUCUGGCCGUCAGUAAACCAACUACUACAUGUCACAGAUACGAUGAAAUGAAACAAAAAGAUGUGGUCGGUAUAUGAUAUAAUUUUACUUGUAAUUUCAAUUUCGAGUAAUUUGUCUAUGGCUGAUGCAUAUGAUAUACAAUUGCGCACUCCUUACGCAAGGUGUCCAUUUUGGCACUAACUGCUAAUUCCAUGAUUACCUAACGAGAAAAUACGUACUCUAUGUGACCUUUGCCUACGACUCCAAUCAGCAGCCUCCCCACAAAACAAGACAAAGCAAAAAAUAAUAAAAGGCAUCUUUUUUUUUUUAAAUUGAAAAAAUUAAUGCUGCUAACUCUGGUCCAAUCAGCUCAAAACUCAACUAAUUGAUCCUUUAUAAACUUGUAACUUGAGCACUUAAAUUAGUAGCUUGCCGCUUUAAUUAUUUUACCUGCUACAGGUAUCACUUAAAGGAUGCGGUUCUUGACGGAGGAAUCCCUUUCAACAAGGCCUACGGAAUGACUGCAUUCGAAUACCACGGAACCGAUCCCAGAUUCAACAAGGUGUUUAACCAGGGAAUGUCUAAUCACUCCACCAUUACCAUGAAGAAGAUUUUGGAAGUUUACAGAGGGUUUGAGGGCCUGAAGACCGUGGUCGACGUGGGGGGUGGAACUGGGGCUACGCUCAAUAUGAUCAUCAGCAAAUAUCCCACGAUCAAGGGCAUCAACUUUGAGCUCCCCCACGUCGUAGAGGACGCCCCGUCUCAUCCCGGGGUGGAGCAUGUGGGUGGGGAUAUGUUUGUUAGCGUCCCUAAAGGGGAUGCCAUUUUCAUGAAGUGGAUUUGCCAUGAUUGGAGCGACGACCACUGCCGGAAACUCUUGAAGAACUGCUACCAAGCACUUCCGGACAACGGGAAGGUGAUCCUUGCCGAAUGUGUCCUUCCGGAAGCCCCAGACACCUCGCUCGCUACUCAGAAUGUCGUCCACGUUGAUGUCGUCAUGUUGGCCCACAACCCUGGUGGGAAAGAGAGGACUGAGAAGGAUUUCGAGGCCUUGGCAAAGGGGGCUGGAUUCAAAGAAUUCCGCAAGGUUUGCUCUGCUGUCAAUACCUGGAUCAUGGAGCUGUGCAAAUGAAGGCUUAAAUGAACCCUUUGUUUUGGGAAUUCCUUUUGUCUCUUACGUGAUUGGAUUGGUGCUUUCUAAUCAGUACUAAUAUACCUUCCUUCUGUAUUACUAUUAUUUCACAGCAGCAUUGAAACGGAAUAAGAAAGUGAAUGAAAUCAAUACCUUUUUUUUCCUUUUUUUUUUUGCAUGUUUAUUUAUAAUUAGUUUACUUAUUUCCUGAAACUAAAGUGGCUUCAUCCUCCUUUUUCUCAUAUCUAGUGAUGCAAAAAAGCACUGUCCUGAGUAAAUAUUAUGACAGCCGAGCCGAGUGUGUAGCGUCUAGCGUCUAGCAUCUAGUGUCUACUGCCCAGGGGGCAGAGUCAAGAGUGGUUUAGGUGAAGCGUCAUGAUAUCCAGGCAGAGUGGAUUGUGUUGUGGGCCGCAGUUCUGAUAACAUCUGCUACUUUCAACCCAGACACCCGUUAUAUCCACGAGAAGGGGUCUCGGAGCAUGAUUAUAUAUUAUCAUCCUGGAAAAUUAGCAUGCAAGGAAGCAGUUGAUAUUGAUGAGAUAGUCAAUGAUGUAUCUUGCUUUAUAAGUCAUAACCAACCAGUUUAUACAAGUCUAGAGAUGCCUCGUAUGGUUGCUCAACAAUUAUACAGGGGAAGAGGUAAGCCUGGCGAAAAUUAAAUGGACCAAAGAAGGAUCAUUAAUUUACAAACACAUAACACAAUCAUCCUGUACUCAUUGACCAAGUGCAGAACCAACGAGGGCAGGGAACGAGAGGUUUUUGAGUAAUCCUUACAAGUCUCAAGCACGGACACAUGUAAAGAUUUCUCCACUUAUUUCACCAAUAAAAAAUGAAAAAAAAAAUAAAGAAAGAUAUAAAUUCUGAAUCCCGUUUAUUGUGGCUCGGUCAUGUCAUCUAAGCAUUCGCCCCGAUUGAAGUCAACAACUCUUGAAGCCGCACCCAUGGAUAAAAUCCUUCUUGCUCCGGCCUGGAGGUAACACGCACGGUUGAACCCCUCCCACAACGCACAAACAAAAAUAAAUAACUGGACAGAAGCAGAACAAAUGGUGAAGGUCAUCAUGACAAUGAAAGGACAAGUGCUACAUUGGUAUCCCAUCCGUUAUUCACAAGAGUACAAAUACCAGAAACUAGUUGGAAGCAGCCGAAUAAUGGAAGGGAAAAAAGUUGGGGGACCUGAAGGAAGCAAAAACUCGACGGAAUGCCCGGGGAUUCCCAUUAGUUCUUGAAAAGUUCCAAACAGUGUUCCUGGUCCAGGUUCCUGCUCCAGAACUUCUUGUAGUACUGGGCAUAGGUGAAAUCCCUGUAUACGACUGGGGAACCAUCUGCUGUGAGCGGCUUCGGGGCGCUGAUUACGGCAUGGUCACAGGGACAGAGGAAGGAAGCCACUGAAAGUCUUGGUUGAUCAGCAUUGACGACAGCUCGAUGCCAUACACUCUUGUAAAUCCCAUUGCUUAGAGCCUGAUUUGAUUAUUAAAGUCACGGGAAUCAAAAUCGUCUUCAAAAAAUAAUUCUAAUAAAAGGAUCCGACGACGGGGGAAGGUAUACGGUAUACCUGUAACUGAUCGCCGAUGUUGACGACAAAGGCAUCGGGAUGGGGUUUCACGGCUAACCAUCUGCCAUCUCUAAGGACUUGAAGACCAGCGACGUUCAAAUCUUGAAGCAGAAUAGUGAGGGCAUUAGGAUCAGUGUGUCCGGGCAAGCCAUAAGUCAAAUCGGGUUGUGGACACGGAGGAUAAUAGUUGACGGCCAUGUGCUGUCCUUGAUCACCCAACACCUUCUUGAUGCAUUCCUUGUCCAGGCCUAGGCUCUCUGCGAUGGCUUCCUCCAAUCUCAACCCAAGUUCCCGUACU
rnacentral:lncRNA from 1 species